rnacentral:misc_RNA from 1 species
CUGAACUGUUGACACGANCUGUUGCUGGUCCUCAAAUGAGGGGGCAUGUGCACGCUCUGUUUACACAUCCACUCACACCUGUGCACCCUCUGUAGUUCUACAUGGUCUGGGGGACAUGCCGUCUUCCUCGUGUAGCUCUACGUCUUUACACAUACACCGUACAAAGUCUUAUGGAAUGUGCACCGCGUUUAACGCAAUACAAUAC